GUCCGAAUCGUCUAGUGGUUAGGACAACGCGUUGUGGCCGCGUAAACCCAGGUUCGACUCCUGGUUCGGACA